CCUACGGGUGGCUGCAGUUUCGAAUCAUUCACAAUGGGCGAAAGCCUGAUGGUGCGACGCCGCGUGAGGGAUGAAGGCCUUCGGGUUGUAAACCUCUGUCACUGGGGAAGAAACGCUUCAAGUUAAUAGCUUGAAGCCUGACUUAACCCAGAGAGGAAGCAGUGGCUAACUCUGUGCCAGCAGCCGCGGUAAUACAGAGACUGAUAGCGUGAUUGGGAUGGGUGGGGCGGCGGCCGUGCGUGUGCGGUGGGAAAGCCCGGGGCUUAACCUCGGAAUUGCGCCUAAAACUACACGGCUAGAGCAUUGGAGAGGGUAGCGGAAUUCACGGUGUAGCAGUGAAAUGCGUAGAUAUCGUGAGGAACACCAGAGGCGAAGGCGGCUACCUGGACAAUUGCUGACGCUCAGGCACGAAAGCGUGGGGAGCAAAAGGGAUUAGAUACCCCAGUAGUC
rnacentral:rRNA from 1 species